rnacentral:rRNA from 1 species
GACAGAGGGUGCAAGCGUUAUCCGGAAUUAUUGGGCGUAAAGAGUACGUAGGCGGCUUGUUAAGUCAGGGGUUAAAGCCCGCAGCUUAACGACGGAACUGCCUUUGAAACUGAUAGGCUAGAGUGUGGGAGAGGUUGACGGAAUGUCCGGUGUAGCGGUGAAAUGCGUAGAUAUGUGGAAGAACACCGGUGGCGAAGGCGGCCGGCUGGCCCAUUUCUGACGCUGAGGGGCGAAAGCGUGGGGAGCGAACAGG